rnacentral:tRNA from 1 species
AGGGUUAUAGCUCAGUUGGUAGAGCAACUCGUUUACAAGUCUACGGUUCGAGUCCGUAUAGCCCUA